UACAGAGGGGGCAAGCGUUAUUCGGAAUUAUUGGGCGUAAAGGGCGCGUAGGCGGCCUGGCAAGUGGAAGGUGAAAUCCCUCGGCUUAACCGAGGAACUGCCCUCCAAACUGCUUGGCUUGAGUCCGGGAGAGGUGAGUGGAAUUCCCAGUGUAGCGGUGAAAUGCGUAGAUAUUGGGAGGAACACCAGUGGCGAAGGCGGCUCACUGGACCGGAACUGACGCUGAGGCGCGAAAGCGUGGGGAGCAAAUGGG
rnacentral:rRNA from 1 species